UACGUAGGUGGCGAGCGUUGUCCGGAUUUACUGGGCGUAAAGAGCGCGCAGGCGGUCCUUUAAGUCUGAUGUGAAAGCCCACGGCUCAACCGUGGAGGGUCAUUGGAAACUGGGGGACUUGAGUGCAGAAGAGGAAAGCGGAAUUCCCAGUGUAGCGGUGAAAUGCGUAGAUAUUGGGAGGAACACCAGUGGCGAAGGCGGCUUUCUGGCAUACAACUGACGCUGAGGCGCGAAAGCGUCGGGAGGCAACAGGG
rnacentral:rRNA from 1 species